UACGGAGGGUGCAAACGUUGCUCGGAAUCAUUGGGCGUAAAGCGCACGUAGGUGGUUUGUUAAGUCGGGUGUGAAAUCCCUGGGCUCAACCCAGGAAGUGCACUCGAAACUGGCAGACUUGAGUACUGAAGAGGGUCGCGGAAUUCCCGGUGUAGAGGUGAAAUUCGUAGAUAUCGGGAGGAACACCAGUGGCGAAGGCGGCGACCUGGUUCGAUACUGACGCUGAGGUGCGAAAGCGUGGGGAGCAAACAGG
rnacentral:rRNA from 1 species